CAGGAGUGUUCCCUCAGCCUGGGUUCUGAAGGAAGGACAUUAUCAGAGAAAGGAGUCAGCAGAUCCGAGCCACAGUUGCAGCUACAGUGCAGCAAUGCCGUAUUUUUGACCCACUGUAACGGGCUGGGGAUUGAACCUGCGUCCUAGCACUCCAGAGACAUCGCUGAUCCUUCUGCAUCACCACAGGAACUCCUAGCCUGGAAAUAUUAAUACUACCUUGCAACAGUCCCACAGCAAAGAGUGGAAACAGAGCUUGAGGGUGCCAAGGAAUGUCUGGGUCCUCAAGAAUGUUUAUUGUGUCACAUAGAUGAUGAGGAACUGGCUGUACUGUGCUUUGGCUGAACCAUGAUGGUACAAUGUAUAGUCUCUUCUUAGCUCUCCAAUCAAGAAGCUGGGCACAAAAACAGUCUUUGCUUUUAGUUUCCCCAUCACUUUCCUUGUGUUUUAGUAUCUCUCUUCAAAGCAUUCUAUCUCUUCUUUGGGGUGGAUUUGAGUGGUUGAGUUAAGGAAAAGCUGCUUUUGCAGCUUUCUCCUUUUGCAUCAUGAUGUUAUCCACCCAAUUCUUUCCAACUCAGUUCCAAGACUGAAGGAUUAUCCUUUCUCUCCAAAUUGCAUGGACUUCCUACAUUUUUCCAUCCUCUCUUCUAUGGUUUUUGUAGGAAAACCCUAAGCUCAGACUCUCAAGCUCUGUGCUGCCUUUGCAAUGGGAAAAUUUGUGAACUGAAAAAAAAGACAUUUUUAAAAAAAGAUUUUCUCUUUCAAUAAAGCCUAAUG